rnacentral:rRNA from 1 species
GAUGAACGCUGGCGGCGUGCUUAACACAUGCAAGUCGAACGGUGAAGCAGGAGCUUGCUCUUGUGGAUCAGUGGCGAACGGGUGAGUAACACGUGAGCAACCUGCCCCUGACUCUGGGAUAAGCGCUGGAAACGGCGUCUAAUACUGGAUAUGUUAUGUGACCGCAUGGUCUGCAUCUGGAAAGAAUUUCGGUUGGGGAUGGGCUCGCGGCCUAUCAGCUUGUUGGUGAGGUAAUGGCUCACCAAGGCGCCGACGGGUAGCCGGCCUGCGAGGGUGACCGGCCACACGGGGAGUGAGCCACGGCCCAGACUCCUACGGGAGGCAGCAGUGAGGAAUAGUGCACAAUGGGAGGAAGCCUGAUGCAGCAACGCCGCGUGAGGGAUGACGGCCUUCGGGUUGUAAACCUCUUUUAGCAGGGAAGAAGCGAAAGUGACGGUACCUGCAGAAAAAGCACCGGCUAACUACGUGCCAGCAGCCGCGGUCA